GGGAAACAGUAGCAGUAAGGGGAAACAGUAGCAGUGGGGGGGAAACAGUAGCAGUGAGGGGAAACAGUAGCAGUGAGGGGAAACAGUAGCAGUGAGGGGAAAACAGCAGCAGUGAGGGGAAAACAGCAGCAGUGAUGGGAAACAGUAGCAGUGAUGGGAAACAGUUGCAGUGACAGGAAAACAGCAGCAGUGAUGGGAAACAGUAGCAGUAAGGGGAAACAGCAGCAGUGAUGGGGAACAGUAACACUAAGGGGAAACAGCAGCAGGGACAGGGAAACAGCAGCAGUAAGGGGAAACAGCAGCAGGGACAGGGAAACAGUAGCAGUGAGGGGAAACAGAAAGUGAGGGGGAACAGCAGCAGUGAUGGGAAACAGCAGCAGUGAUGGGGAAACAGCAGCAGUGAGGUGGAAACAGCAGCAGUGACAGGGAAACAGCAGCAGUGAGGUGGAAACAGUAGAAGGGAGGGGGAAACAGCAGCAGUGAGGUGGAAACAGCCGCACUGAGGUGGAAACAGUAGAAGUGAGGUGGAAACAGUAGAAGUGAGGGGGAAACAGCAGCAGUGAUGGGAAACAGUAGCAGUAAGGGGGAAACAGCUGAAGUGAUGGGAAACAGUAGCAGUGAUGGGAAAACAGUAGCAGUGAGGGGAAACAGCAGCAGUGAGGGGAAAACAGCAGCAGUGAGGGGAAAACAGCAGCAGUGAGGGGAAAACAGCAGCAGUGAUGGGAAACAGUUGCAGUGACAGGAAAAUAGCAGCAGUGAUGGGAAACAGUAGCAGGACAGGGAAACAGCAGCAGUAAGGGGAAACAGCAGCAGGGACAGGGAAACAGAAAGUGAGGGGGAACAGCAGCAGUGAUGGGAAACAGCAGCAGUGAUGGGGAAACAGCAGCAGUGAUGGGAAACAGUUGCAGUAAGGGGGGAACAGUAGAAGGGAGGGGGA
rnacentral:lncRNA from 1 species